rnacentral:rRNA from 1 species
AUGGGAACGCGAAGAACCUUACCUAGACUUGACAUCUCCUGAAUAGUGUAGAGAUACAUGAAGCCCUUCGGGGCAGGAAGACAGGUGGUGCAUGGUUGUCGUCAGCUCGUGUCGUGAGAUGUUGGGUUAAGUCCCGCAACGAGCGCAACCCUUAUUACUAGUUGCUACCAUUAAGUUGAGCACUCUAGUGAGACUGCCCGGGGUUAACCGGGAGGAAGGCGGGGAUGACGUCAAAUCAUCAUGCCCCUUAUGUCUAGGGCAACACACGCGCUACAAUGGUGAGUACAGAUAGAUGCGAUACCGCAAGGUGGAGCCAAACUCUAAAACUCAUCCCAGUUCGGAUUGUAGGCUGCAACUCGCCUACAUGAAGUUGGAGUUGCUAGUAAUCGCGAAUCAGAAUGUCGCGGUGAAUACGUUCCCGGGUCUUGUACACACCG